rnacentral:snoRNA from 1 species
AAUCCGUGAUGUGGGCAGCAUCUCUCUUAAACCUCUCAUAUACAUCGUACAUGCUUUCAUCAUCAAACUGCAUAAAAGAAGAUAUGUCAUUUCUAAGUUU